GCGAAAGCUUCCUAGGGUUCCGCUGCAAAUGCAGGUCAGGUCCAAGAGGAGGCGCAUGACGAUAACGUCAUGACACGGAGGGACAAAAGCCUGGGAGAG
rnacentral:sRNA from 1 species